AUACAGAGGGUGCGAGCGUUAAUCGGAAUUACUGGGCGUAAAGCGUGCGUAGGUGGUCUGUUAAGUCAGGUGUGAAAGCCCUGGGCUCAACCUAGGAACUGCAUUUGAUACUGGCAGACUAGAGUGUGGUAGAGGGUAGUGGAAUUCCCGGUGUAGCGGUGAAAUGCGUAGAUAUCGGGAGGAACAUCAGUGGCGAAGGCGGCUACCUGGACCAACACUGACACUGAGGUACGAAAGCGUGGGGAGCAAACAGGAUUAGAUACCCCAGUAGUCC
rnacentral:rRNA from 1 species